CGGCCGCCCCUCGGCCCCGGAGCCCCUCGGCGGCGCCACCAUGUACUCGGGAGCCGGCCCCGGGACAAAGGAAUUAAUAGAGUAACACGGGUAAAAAAUGCAGAGAAAGCAAAGGAAGAUGCCAAGAGUGAUGAGAGGGGUGACUUGGAACAAAUCUGUGUGUGGAGGUGUCUGAGCUCUUGGGAGUGGCUGGGGGCUCAUGUGACGUUGCAGGAUGCCCGCCUCAGCAUAACAGCACCCUGAGCGCAGGCUCAGGUCAGGCCCACCUCACUGGAAUCCUGGCCACGUGAUGGGUGUCUCACCUCACCUCUCUGAACCUCAGUCUCCUCUUCGUACAGAGUGAAAACCUCGUCCUCAUGGUGGUGGUGCUUUGAUCAGAGGAGAUGAUGCGGGCGACCUGCAGUUGUGUCCCACAUGCAGG
rnacentral:lncRNA from 10 species